rnacentral:rRNA from 1 species
GACUCCUACGGGAGGCAGCAGUGAGGAAUAUUGGUCAAUGGGCGGGAGCCUGAACCAGCCAAGUCGCGUGAGGGAUGACGGCCCUAUGGGUUGUAAACCUCUUUUGCCGGGGAGCAAAGUGCCGCACGUGUGCGGUUUGGAGAGUACCCGGAGAAAAAGCAUCGGCUAACUCCGUGCCAGCAGCCGCGGUAAUACGGAGGAUGCGAGCGUUAUCCGGAUUUAUUGGGUUUAAAGGGUGCGUAGGCGGACGCUUAAGUCAGCGGUAAAAUUGCGGGGCUCAACCUCGUCGAGCCGUUGAAACUGGGUGCCUUGAGUGGGCGAGAAGUACGCGGAAUGCGUGGUGUAGCGGUGAAAUGCAUAGAUAUCACGCAGAACUCCGAUUGCGAAGGCAGCGUACCGGCGCCCAACUGACGCUGAAGCACGAAGGCGUGGGUAUCGAACAGGAUUAGAUACCCUGGUAGUCCACGCAGUAAACGAUGAAUGCUAGUUGUCCGGGGCGAUUGAGUUCUGG